rnacentral:lncRNA from 1 species
AAAAAAAUAUUUAUGCAUGUAUAUACUCUAAAGCAAAUAGUUAAAGAUAAAGCGCAAACCAUUAAUUCAUGAUUAAUAAAUACUGUGUCGAAGGGGCCAAAAUUAAAUGAUAAUUAAGGGUUUAUAUUUUUUUACUUCAUUGACAUUAAUGAGCUCCAAUGACAAAUAUCUACACGAUAUAUAAAUUGGUUACGGGAUACGUUAAUUGAAACAAUAUGGAGUAUAAGCAAACUUCUUUACACUCAACAACAAAUAGAUAAUUCAGCUCAAAUAACAAAAAAAC